rnacentral:rRNA from 1 species
AUUGAACGCUGGCGGCAUGCUUUACACAUGCAAGUCGAACGGCAGCGCGGGGCAACCUGGCGGCGAGUGGCGAACGGGUGAGUAAUAUAUCGGAACGUACCCAGAAGUGGGGGAUAACGUAGCGAAAGUUACGCUAAUACCGCAUACGAUCUACGGAUGAAAGUGGGGGACCUUCGGGCCUCAUGCUUGUGGAGCGGCCGAUAUCUGAUUAGCUAGUUGGUGAGGUAAAGGCUCACCAAGGCAACGAUCAGUAGCUGGUCUGAGAGGACGACCAGCCACACGGGGAAUGAGACACGGCCCAGACUCCUACGGGAGGCAGCAGUGGGGAAUUUUGGACAAUGGGCGCAAGCCUGAUCCAGCAAUGCCGCGUGAGUGAAGAAGGCCUUCGGGUUGUAAAGCUCUUUUGUCAGGGAAGAAACGGCUCGGGCUAAUAUCCUGGGCUAAUGACGGUACCUGAAGAAUAAGCACCGGCUAACUACGUGCCAGCAGCCGCCGCAG